CAGGACAGGUACAGCACAGGCAGCGACAGUGCGAGCUUUCCCCAAACCACCCCGUCAAUGUUUCUCAACCCUGACCUGGAGGGACCACCUCUAGA
ensembl:misc_RNA